UGGUUGAAUGUGGAGUUGGUUCGUCUGGC
rnacentral:piRNA from 1 species